rnacentral:rRNA from 1 species
UACAGAGGCCUCAAGCGUUGUUCGGAUUCAUUGGGCGUAAAGGGUGUGUAGGUGGCGCGCUAAGUCGGGUGUGAAAUUUCGGAGCUUAACUCCGAAACUGCAUUCGAUACUGGCGUGCUUGAGGACUGGAGAGGAGACUGGAAUUCAUGGUGUAGCAGUGAAAUGCGUAGAGAUCAUGAGGAAGACCAGUGGCGAAGGCGGGUCUCUGGACAGUUCCUGACGCUGAGGCACGAAGGCCAGGGGAGCAAACGGG